rnacentral:rRNA from 1 species
ACGCACAGUUUAUACCGUAGCUUGCUACACCAUAGACUGUGAGUUGCGAACGGGUGAGUAACGCGUAGGUAACCUGCCUAUUAGAGGGGGAUAACUAUUGGAAACGAUAGCUAAUACCGCAUAACAGUAUGUAACACAUGUUAGAUGCUUGAAAGAUGCAAUUGCAUCGCUAGUAGAUGGACCUGCGUUGUAUUAGCUAGUAGGUAGGGUAAUGGCCUACCUAGGCGACGAUACAUAGCCGACCUGAGAGGGUGAUCGGCCACACUGGGACUGAGACACGGCCCAGACUCCUACGGGAGGCAGCAGUAGGGAAUCUUCGGCAAUGGGGGGAACCCUGACCGAGCAACGCCGCGUGAGUGAAGAAGGUUUUCGGAUCGUAAAGCUCUGUUGUUAAGGAAGAACGAGUGUGAGAAUGGAAAGUUCAUACUGUGACGGUACUUAACCAGAAAGGGACGGCUAACUACGUGCCAGCAGCCGCGGUAAUACGUAGGUCCCGAGCGUUGUCCGGAUUUAUUGGGCGUAAAGCGAGCGCAGGCGGUUAGAAAAGUCUGAAGUGAAAGGCAGUGGCUCAACCAUUGUAGGCUUUGGAAACUGUUUAACUUGAGUGCAGAAGGGGAGAGUGGAAUUCCAUGUGUAGCGGUGAAAUGCGUAGAUAUAUGGAGGAACACCGGUGGCGAAAGCGGCUCUCUGGUCUGUAACUGACGCUGAGGCUCGAAAGCGUGGGGAGCGAACAGGAUUAGAUACCCUGGUAGUC